UCCCCAUUCCUUUACAAAACCUCUUUCACAGACUGUUUGGUACCCACUUCCAUUUGUUUCUCCAGCAUCAAACAAUAUUUCAGCUUCUUACCCAAGUCCACUCACAAAUCAACAAUCUAACAAAUCCACCAAAUCUCAACGUAAGCUUCAGAAAAAUCUACCAAGAUAGUACACUCCUUUUAUUGAGCCCAUAGCUCAACUUUAUGAGAGACUAAAGAUGGCUGGCUAUAUCACUCCUAUUCCUGCAAUUGUCAUGAACACAUGUGCACCGUAGCUUAAUCGUUCUAAAACUUGUUCUUAUCAUUUAGGGAUGAAAGAACAAACCACAGA
rnacentral:lncRNA from 1 species